rnacentral:tRNA from 1 species
GGAAGAGUACAGCUCAGGGGUAGAGUGUGUGCUUAGCAUGCACGAGGUCCUGGGUUCAAUCCCCAGUCCCUCCA